rnacentral:lncRNA from 1 species
AUGGUCACAUGGGCUAAUUAGAAUUAUCAGAGCAAAGGCUACCACAGACUGCAACAGCCUGAAUGGAGUCCUGCAGUGUACCUGUGAAGACAGCUACACCUGGUUUCCUCCCUCAUGCCUUGAUCCCCAGAACUGCUACCUUCACACGGCUGGAGCACUCCCAAGCUGUGAAUGUCAUCUCAACAACCUCAGCCAGAGUGUCAAUUUCUGUGAGAGAACAAAGAUUUGGGGCACUUUCAAAAUUAAUGAAAGGUUUACAAAUGACCUUUUGAAUUCAUCUUCUGCUAUAUACUCCAAAUAUGCAAAUGGAAUUGAAAUUCAACUUAAAAAAGCAUAUGAAAGAAUUCAAGGUUUUGAGUCGGUUCAGGUCACCCAAUUUCGGACAGUUAUACACCUGUGGAACCUGGUUUAACUUCACUAAAUCAAACCUAUAACAAGCAGGAAAAUACUCUGUAAUCAAUAGAAUGGACAUAUCAAUACAAAGAAAUGGAAGCAUCGUUGCUGGGUAUGAAGUUGUUGGCUCCAGCAGUGCAUCUGAACUGCUGUCAGCCAUUGAACAUG